CCUGAGGGGCGAUCACGAUGACGCAGUCUCCAGCCUCCCUGGCUGGGUCUCUGGGCCAGCGGGUCACCAUGAACUGCAGGGACAGUCAGAGUAUUAGCAGCUACGUAGCCUGGUACCAACAGAAACCAGGACAACGAACUAAGCUGCUCAUCUAUGACGCAUCCAACCGGGUAACUGGCGUCCCCGACCGAUUCAGCGGCAGUGGGUCUGGGACAGAUUUCACCCUCACCAUCAGCAACCUCCAGGCUGAAGACGUGGCGACUUAUUACUGUCAACAUCGUAAUAGUUAUCCUCCCACAGUGCUUUAG